CUUUGUCUCUGCCUUUGACUCCAGGUUUACCUACAGUUCCACUGCUUCCAUCCUCCUCUAAUCGCACCUUCAGCCCCUUGCUCCACUGAAUCCUGCCACCACCAGCUUCAACCCUGCCAGCACGCUACCAGGUUUGAUGCCGCUGCCUGGGGGGUUACCUCCACUCCCUAACCUGCCCAACCUCAACCUGCCACUGCCAGACCUCAGUGCUGUGUCACUACCAGG